CAGGCAUUGAUGGAGGCAGAGGAGCGGCGGUUGUCCCUCAGAGCCUUGUAGUCCCGCGGAUUGGGCUCCACCAGCAGCCCACGGAACCCCAACUCUUGCUCCAUAUAGAGAGUCGUGGUUUCUCUCUUCACUGUGACCACCGGCAAUGUAGUUCCUCGGGAAUACUAUAUACGAGAGUCUGGCAUCAUCUGCAGAAGGAAGAUGUGACGAAGAUCUGUAGCAGCACGGCGCACAGAACGAGGAGGGCGGAGCGCUGCAUCCUGGGGGAGGCUCUCACGGACAUCAGGGCAGGCACAACCACCCAGUGAUAUGUAAACACGACUGCCAGCGUCGCCGUCAGCAAGCCUCCGCCGCACACCAGCCACUCGUCCAGUCUGCGCCGCCACCAAGCAAAUGACACCGCCACGACAAAGUGGAGGAGGAGGAGGAGGAAGAGGAGGAAUCGUCUGCGAGACUACAAAGGCGAGGAGGAAGUGUGGCGUGUGGUGCAGCUUCAGCGUGCCACGCCUACUGCUCGUGGCGGACAACCUGUGCCCUCCGGCUCACUCACCUAAAGAUCUGCUCACGCUCCACCAGGGGCAGGACAGCCACUUCUCCUACCCGCCACAAGGACAUCAGCAAAUCUGGUGUCGGUUCCUGCGUUGCCCAAGACCUGGGCAGCACCCCUACCGUCAGUUCGUAGCGUCUGGGCGUCUCCAAUCCGCUC